GUCAUUGCACAAUGGUAGAGCAUCUGCUUUGCAUGCAGAAGGCUCCGGGUUCAAUUCCUGAUCUCUCCA